rnacentral:tRNA from 1 species
UGAGAGAGUCAUAGUGGUUAUGGUGUUGGCUUGAAACCAAUUUUUGGGGGUUCGAAACCUCCCUCUCUUA